ACACACAAAUACCAUUGCCUAAACACACACACCUCACCCCCCCUCUACUGGUCGGGUGCUCAGAACAGAAGACUCUGCUUUGCACCAAUGGGGCUCCUGCUCUGGCCAGAGCAGGUCCGCCUCCAACCCUUCAGGACCAUCCAGAAGGCGACAAGACUCUACCUACUUUAUUCUAUGUAUAAAAAUGAUUGUAACCUUUGUAUAGGUCCCUUUUUCACCUAACUCCCUACUGAGUUAUGCGAAUAGGUCCGUGCACGUUAAACUGCAGGACAAGAUAUCUUUGACUCAUUAAAACUGCCUUUUGUUACAACUGAAAUCCACUCUGUCCAGCGUCCGUGAUUUGGUCUCGACUCUCCAGUAUUUGAACAUCAACAGUAACUACAUCAGGGGUGUAUUCACUAGGAACCAAACAGCAAAAUGAACUGGCUGUGAUGGACAGCAACAACUUCUUUGGAAACUGUGGUGUUGGUGAGAGGGAGGGCAGAGUGGCCUCUAGUUUGGUGGCCCGACGACAUUACAGGUUAAUACAUGGGAUAGGACGAUCUAGUGACAUCGCUGCAACUCAACCUAAGGAUGCAGGUUCCAGUCUGCUGAGCAAGCUGACUAAUUCAGUUGUGCUGGACAUUUUAAAACUCAGGUGUGCAAAGUGUGGCCAGUUGUUUUGUAGUUCCAAUGGCAACCAGGAUGAGCCUGACACUGUGCUUCCUAACACUUCGCCACAAGAGACCAAAGGCGCGCUACAUCAUCUGGCCCCUCAUUGACCAGAAGUCCUGCUUCAAUGCCAUGAUCACUGCAGGUUAAGUACUAGCAUGACCGUGUUCAAUACCACUCUCUGUAACAUUAUAAAAGUAAGUUAUGCCCUACAGUUUCUUGUACUCCCCAUUCCUGCUCUAGAUGCACCUAUCAGUUCAGCUAGUUUUGAAAAUGACUUAACUUUUCUAAGAGCAGCCUAAAAUGCAUGCUAUACUUGACUCGUAGGGCCUAACUUUUGCAGAGUGUGACACGCUCCCGUUCAUUCAUCCCUGCUUAGUGCAGCAUUUCUCUCUGUUUCUAUUUUCAAGAAUUCGGCGCACGGCUCACACAUGAAAACACUUAAUAAAGUAUCUUGCGCUCUGCUCAUGCCGGCAAAUGUUAUGCGUCCACUACCCCACUGUAGCUCCCAUGCAAGGCAACUCUUGUCCAACCCCAACAUUGACCACUUUUGCUCGUUGUAACCAUGAACAGGGUUUGAACCCAUGGUGGUGAGAACAUUUUGGAAGGCGAUGAGCUGAGAACAGAUCUGGAGUCUGUGGACCUUAAGAUGCAAGAGCUGGGAGCAGAGAACAUCAUUUGUGUCCACUCCACUACUUCUUGCUUUGCCAUCCAAUCAUGGUUAAAUAGAGCUGUAACAAAUAAAAUGUCCAUGUCCUAUUAUCAUGUGCUAUUAUAACUGGUAUCACUGGAAACAAAUGUUAUUUGUAUAGUCUGCAUACUGUUUUAUUGUAUAGUCGACUUCAUGACAUUACUCACAGAAGCAUACUUCCAUAUUAUUACAGUGUAUGUUGGGUGAAGAUUACCAGGGCAUUAUUUGAUAAUGACUUUCCUCUGUUCUGGCAGAUUGGAGGAGCUAGCCACAAUGUGUGCCAAAUAUGACAUCCUCCAUGUUGUCAACAAUGCUUAUGGAGUGCAGUCAUCCAAGUGUAUGCACUUUCUUCAGCAGGGGGCUUGUGUUGGAAGAAUCGAUGCCUUUGUACAAAGCCUGGACAAAAACUUCAUGGUUCCAGUAGGUGGUGCCACAAUUGCUGAGUCUUUUAUUUCAGGAGAUCAGCAGAAUGUAUCCAGGUUAGUGCUGUUUCAUAUCACUAUGGGCCAUAUGUGUUUGAACCAAGCCUGCAACCUUUUUGUGUAAAGUUGCUAUUACCUGGAUUAGCUACUAGUUUACUGUUAUCAUAGGGCUCAUCUAGUGUAAUUGUUCCGCCAGCCCUCAGUGUCUCUGUGCUCUGUUGUAUUCCUGUGUGUCUGUAUUGUCUCUGUCUGUCUUAUGCUGGUGACACAUUCCAUUUCCCCUCUGAAAUAUUGGAAGUUUGUUCAUUUUGGUAGCACAGGGUCUCGAUCUAAUGCCCAUCUUGGGGAAGCUACUUGGUGUGCUGGAUUAUAUUCCAGCCCAGUACUAACGCCAGAUUCAAAUAAUCAACAUGUCAUGAAAUCAGGUAUGUUAGUGCUUGGCUACAAUAAAGACCUGCAUGUGGUAGUAUGUGUUGUAGUAGGAUAUGUUGCCUAAAAUAUGAGAAUAAAAUAAACAGAAAUGUCAGUUUGCAACUAUUUCAAGUGAGUGCUGGUCCCCUUUUUUCCUUGUUAUGUGAUUGACUGUUGACUUCAAGCUUCCUUUCUCUGUUUUUACUUAAGAAUAUAGAUUUGAGUGCAUUCCUUUCCUUUUACCUCUAAUAAUGUUCUCUAGGAUUGGAGUUGGAGACAACUGGGCUAGAUUUGAGGCAUUCAAAGCCAUAAUAAUGAUCAAUUAAUUAUAUGAAUUGGAACCAUUUAAGGAAACAAAUAAUUGAGAGGAAUCAGUAUUGGUACUGAAAUUGAUACAGUCCUAGUAAGGGUUCAGGUUAGAAAGUGUUUGUGCCCUUUUAGUAUGAUGCUGACUGCCCUCUGUCUACAGGUCAAGCAUCAGCCUCCCCCUGCCCGGAUGUGCUCAUCACCCUGCUCACCAUGGGGGCCAGCGGCUACAGGAAAAAGGACAAUGACCCAACACAAGGGCUAUUUGACCAAGAAGGAGAGUGACGGAGUGCAGC